UUGAAGGGGUGAGAUGCCCCGUAACUAUGUAUAU
rnacentral:guide_RNA from 1 species